rnacentral:lncRNA from 1 species
AGAAACUACUCUGUUGUCAGCCUUUCCAGUAGCAAGAACUCUGGGUAUUCUUCCUAUAUCAGACUGGACAGCAUGUUUACAUAGCCUUCUUCAGUUUGACAAAGGGAAAAAGAAGGAUAUAAAGUGCCAAGCUGGACUUUCCAGAAAGUAAUAUGCAGUUUAGCUCUCAUCAGACCUGAAGUUUUAAAACAGUGUGACUCUGAAUACAGCUAAUUGUGAGAAAUAAUCGUCGACCUAUGAUGCAAACAGGAUGCUUUAGACGUGACUCACUUGACAGCUGAAGUGCUGCAACUAGACCACCAGGCAAAAUGAAGACCCUGUGUAUUCUAAACUUUUCAUACACUCAUCUGAAGCUCCACAACCAGCUGAUUCUGAUACGGAAAGAUUUCCAAGUCUCAGAAGAAAAUAAAACAAUUUAUAGCUGAUGAGAUGGUUCUAAGCUCUUCUGCAUUCCUCUGCAAACAAGUUUAAAGGCAACAAACCAGGUCACGCUUAGCCCAGUAAAAACCCUACCUCCCUUUUUUCCAAGUUUCUGUACUAGCUGCUUUCCUUAUCACUGU